rnacentral:rRNA from 1 species
UACAGAGGGGGCAAGCGUUAUUCGGAAUUAUUGGGCGUAAAGGGCGCGUAGGCGGCUUGGCAAGUGGAAUGUGAAAUCCCUCGGCUUAACCGAGGAACUGCCGUCCAAACUGCUUCGCUUGAGACCGGGAGAGGUGAGUGGAAUUCCCAGUGUAGCGGUGAAAUGCGUAGAUAUUGGGAGGAACACCAGUGGCGAAGGCGGCGCACUGGACCGGUACUGACGCUGAUGCGCGAAAGCGUGGGGAGCAAACGGG